GGAGAAUGAGGGCAGAACAGAGGUGGAACAAGAGCAGGUUUAUAUACCCUGACCAUGCAACCAUAUGACAGACUGGGAACCUAUCCAAUGUGUUCCCUGCCUUUUGCCCUAUGACACCUGGGAGUCAUAUGGAUGGAUGAAUGUUCCAUAACAAUCCAUCUCCUUCUGCUACAAGUCAAACAGGACAUUCUUCAGGACUGCUUCAGGAUCUAACAACACAUGAAAGAAGGAGCCAGAAACACAACAGUACAUAGGCGAGAGAUGGAAGUUUCCAUCUGAAAUGCACUUGCAGAUUACAGAGUUAGUAGCGAAAUGCCAGUCAAUACUGCGUGCAUGAGUGGAAAACACUUCAGGUAGGAGUAUAAAUGUGUGUACAUGUACAUACGUUUGUCUUUGCUUGAGUUUGCAUGCACCAUAGUGUUUUAGGUGAACCCCAUCUCUCAUGCCUGGAGGCCUCUGUCAUUGUCACUUCGGUCCAUUCCAUAUUUCUCCUGCCUAUGCACCUGGGACGUUUUAUUUUAUUUGCCUGCCAUAGACCAAGGUCUGGAUGAUUGAUGGACCCACAUCAGCCACUCUCUGCCCAUUUAUCAAGUAGCCGGUGUUCAGGGCAGGUAAAAAGCUUUCU